CAAGGUUUCCGUAGGUGAACCUGCGGAAGGAU
rnacentral:ncRNA from 5 species